UUACCUCGGCCCCCUGGGCCAGUCCUGCGUCUCCGAACAGGGGAGGGUGAUCGGUAUAAAACCGCCCGGUGGCGCACGGAGGGACAUAGCGCCUCUGUCCUCCUGUGAUCUCAGUCGUGGAAGUUCGCUCUACAUACAACUCAGCCAUGUUCCGCGCCGCCCUGCUGCUGCUGGCUGUCCUGGUCGCCGUGCUGGCGGUCACCUGGGCUGCUCCCGACCCGGCUCCGGUCGACGAGAACGUAGCAGUUUCCUACGCCACGGCUGAUAACGUGGCGCACGGCUACGUCGCAGACAACGUCGCGCACGGCUACGUCGCUGAGAACGUCGCUCACGGCUACGCCCUGCCGUAAACGUCUGCCCGAUGCCGUCCCGUGUCAACGCCGGAACGCCAGGUCAACGAGGAGUCACCGGAGUCCAAGAAAAGGUCACCAGGUCAACUGAUCGGCGGCUUUGAAUUCCGACAUGACUUAGAGGAUGGCUCGAAGUUGAUUAGGCGGAAAAUGACCAUGUUUUUCACGGAUGGACUUACCUCAAGGGCGGUUACUAUGUUUUUACUUUUGUUUCUGUCUUAGUGUUGUGUUUUGUUGGCGCCAAUAAAAGACAGUGAAGCUA